ACUCCUACGGGAGGCAGCAGUGGGGAAUAUUGCACAAUGGGCGCAAGCCUGAUGCAGCCAUGCCGCGUGUGUGAAGAAGGCCUUCGGGUUGUAAAGCACUUUCAGUCGUGAGGAAGGUAGUGUAGUUAAUAGCUGCAUUAUUUGACGUUAGCGACAGAAGAAGCACCGGCUAACUCCGUGCCAGCAGCCGCGGUAAUACGGAGGUGCGAGCGUUAAUCGGAAUUACUGGGCGUAAAGCGCAUGCAGGUGGUUGUUAAGUCAGAUGUGAAAGCCCGGGGCUCAACCUCGGAAUAGCAUUUGAAACUGGCAGACUAGAGUACUGUAGAGGGGGUAGAAUUUCAGGUGUAGCGGUGAAAUGCGUAGAGAUCGUGAAGGAUACCGGUGGCGAAGGCGGCCCCUGGACAGAUACUGACACUCAGAUGCGAAAGCGUGGGAGCAAACAGGAUUAGAUACCCCUGGUAGACUGUCA
rnacentral:rRNA from 1 species